CAAUAGCGUAUAUUAAAGUUGUUGCAGUUAAAAAGCUCGUAGUUGGAUUUCUGGGAGGGUGCCAAUGUCCGCCGACGUGCGUGUGCAGCGGCGCCCUCUCAUCCUUCUGUUAACGCCUACUGGCAUUGCAUUUUGCUGGUGGCGGGCUCAGAUAUUUUACCUUGAGAAAAUUAGAGUGUUUCAGGCAGGCUAGGCCGGAAUACAUUAGCAUGGAAUAAUGGAAUAGGACUACGGUCUCUUUGUUGGUUUGAGGGACUGCAGUAAUGAUUAAUAGGGAUAGUUGGGGGCAUUAGUAUUUAAUUGUCAGAGGUGGAAUUCUCAGAUUUGUUAAAGACUAACUUAUGCGAAAGCAUUUGCCAAGGAUGUUUUCAUUAAUCAAGAACGAAAGUUAGGGGAU
rnacentral:rRNA from 1 species